UAUUAAAACACCGGUUCCACUACGAUCACCGAAGUUAAGCAACGCCGAGGCCGGUCAGUAUCUAGAUGGGUGACCGCUUAGGAAUAUCAGGUUGU